UGAGGAAUAUUGGUCAAUGGGCGAGAGCCUGAACCAGCCAAGUCGCGUGAAGGAUGACUGUCUUAUGGAUUGUAAACUUCUUUUAUACGGGAAUAACAAGAGUCACGUGUGACUCCCUGCAUGUACCGUAUGAAUAAGCAUCGGCUAACUCCGUGCCAGCAGCCGCGGUAAUACGGAGGAUGCGAGCGUUAUCCGGAUUUAUUGGGUUUAAAGGGUGCGUAGGCGGUUUGUUAAGUCAGCGGUGAAAUCUAGAGGCUCAACCUCGAAACUGCCGUUGAAACUGGCGAACUUGAGUGUAGAUGAGGUAGGCGGAAUUCGUGGUGUAGCGGUGAAAUGCAUAGAUAUCACGAGGAACUCCGAUUGCGAAGGCAGCUUACUAAGGUACAACUGACGCUGAAGCACGAAAGCGUGGGUAUCAAACA
rnacentral:rRNA from 1 species